UGGGGAAUAUUGGACAAUGGGCGCAAGCCUGAUCCAGCCAUGCCGCGUGGGUGAUGAAGGCCUUAGGGUUGUAAAGCCCUUUCGGCGGGGAAGAUAAUGACGGUACCCGCAGAAGAAGCCCCGGCUAACUUCGUGCCAGCAGCCGCGGUAAUACGAAGGGGGUUAGCGUUGCUCGGAAUCACUGGGCGUAAAGCGCGCGUAGGCGGGUCGCUAAGUCAGGGGUGAAAUCCUGGAGCUCAACUCCAGAACUGCCUUUGAUACUGGGGACCUUGAGUCCGGGAGAGGGGAGUGGAAUUGCGAGUGUAGAGGUGAAAUUCGUAGAUAUUCGCAAGAACACCAGUGGCGAAGGCAACCAUCUGGGCCGGCAUUGACGCUGAGGCGCGAAAGCGUGGGGAGCAAACAGGAUUAGAUACCCCCGUAGUCC
rnacentral:rRNA from 1 species